CAAAAAAAUGCUGAAAAUCGAUUCAAAUUGACAAUUCCACACACAGGAGGGUCGAAAAGUCUAGCAAGGAAAAAAUAUGAGAUGGAAAUUGAGAGUGGCCAGCCUGUGAGUAGGGGUUUAUUAUACAUUGCGACGCAUAAGAAGAAAGAUGGAUCUUUUGUGAAUGAAGGAGCACGAACUAUAAGCGAGAAAAUUUCUGAGAUUGAGAGCCAAGGCACGUCUUCACAGUCAGUCUCCUUAAAUGAUUCACUUGCUCGUGUGCUAGGAAAAGAACAUUCAGGCCGAGUUCGAGGUUUGGGCUUCGAUCCUAGUCCAAACCAAGUUUUUGG